ACGGGAGGCAGCAGUGGGGGAUAUUGCACAAUGGGGGAAACCCUGAUGCAGCGACGCCGCGUGAGUGAAGAAGUAUUUCGGUAUGUAAAGCUCUAUCAGCAGGGAAGAAAAAGGACGGUACCUGACUAAGAAGCCCCGGCUAACUACGUGCCAGCAGCCGCGGUAAUACGUAGGGGGCAAGCGUUAUCCGGAUUUACUGGGUGUAAAGGGAGCGUAGACGGCUGUGCAAGUCUGAAGUGAAAGCCCGCGGCUCAACUGCAGAACUGCUUUGGAAACUGUACGGCUUGAGUACCGGAGGGGUAAGCGGAAUUCCUAGUGUAGCGGUGAAAUGCGUAGAUAUCAGGAGGAACACCGGUGGCGAAGGCGGUUUACUGGACCAUUACUGACGCUGAGACACGAAAGCGUGGGGAGCAAACAGGAUUAGAUACCCUGGUA
rnacentral:rRNA from 1 species